rnacentral:rRNA from 1 species
ACGGGAGGCAGCAGUGGGGAAUAUUGCACAAUGGGGGAAACCCUGAUGCAGCGACGCCGCGUGAGUGAAGAAGUAUUUCGGUAUGUAAAGCUCUAUCAGCAGGGAAGAAAAUGACGGUACCUGACUAAGAAGCCCCGGCUAACUACGUGCCAGCAGCCGCGGUAAUACGUAGGGGGCAAGCGUUAUCCGGAAUUACUGGGUGUAAAGGGAGCGUAGGCGGCAGAGCAAGUCAGAAGUGAAAACCCAGGGCUCAACUUUGGGAUUGCUUUUGAAACUGUUUUGCUAGAGUGUCGGAGAGGUAAGUGGAAUUCCUAGUGUAGCGGUGAAAUGCGUAGAUAUUAGGAGGAACACCAGUGGCGAAGGCGACUUACUGGACGAUCACUGACGCUGAGGCUCGAAAGCGUGGGGAGCAAACAGGAUUAGAUACCCUGGUA